CUUUUUAAGGCUACGUAAAAAAAAAAAAAAAAAAAAAAGCCAUACAAAAUCGAGUCUUUUACACAAGCAGUCCCCCCCCCGGUGAAGCCUUUUUUUUUUUUUUUUUUUUUGGAAGGCAAACAAAAUGGUCCAUGAAUACUGAACUCCAACUGCUCAGCCGGGAUUGGUGAGUGAAAAGAGGCAGAGGGGUAGGGGGAAGGAAUGAAUGUGCGGCGGCGCUGGUUUAGAUUUCAGCGUGCCAAAGCCAAGCUUUCAGAAACGCAUUCCAGAGAUCCAUCUUUCUCGGGCUGUGACACAACAUUCCCUGUGCCUAAUUGGAAGACGGUUAGAUUUAAUCAAGAUUCCCCCAGAAUAGUACGCCAACUUAGAUCUGGGACAUUAACGUUCAUAAAAAUAGCUCCGCUCCCUGUUUGUUCAAACACAUUUCUUGUUAGCAGUUGCUUAAUUGUGCUAGGCAUGAUUCUAAGCAUUGAUUUGCCAAGGUGGGGACAGCUAGUAUUUUCUAAAUCUACACUAGUCUGCUAUGAUCUCCUUUCUCAUCCAAACGCUGUGCUGGUGGAAACAGUUUUAACUGCCAUUCCCCGCAAAAAAUGAAGCUGCAGACACACACAGAAGACAUGUCAGUCUGCGAUUGUUGUUUGGAAAAGGGUGCAUACUUCUGGGUGAGCAGAUCGGGGGAGAAAACAGAGAAUAUAAGGCCCAUAAUGAUGCGACUGGAAUAAAAAUCCACAGUCAUGCUUUUCUGCCUUCAUUUUGAAGCAGCCAAGCUGCCAGGAAGGCAGGCCGCUGUAAAAUUCCACAGGCAGCCCUGAACAGGCAGAAACUAGGUCAGCACUGUUAUUGCAGAGGAGAGAGGAGAGAGAGAGCGAGAGAGAGAGAGAGAGAGAGAAAGAGAGAGAGAAAGCGAGCGCCGAGGGAGAGACAGGGUGAGGAUGAGGGAGAGCGCAAUGGUGACAGAAAGAGAAGGAGCCGAGGGUUAGCGAGAGAACAGGAGACCCGGGGCUCUGAAACAGGAACAGUCAGACUCGGCGCUCGCCGUCAGACAGACAGGAGCCCAGGCGAAUGCUACACAUGCUCCCUACAUGCACAGAAACUUACACAAGUAUUUAUGUGCCUUGAACUUUGCUACGUGCUCUCAGACAAACUCCACUGCUAGUUUUUGUGGGAUAGAACAAAACAGAGAAUCACAGUGACGUGGAUAUAUGUAUUUUUGUUUUUCCUAAUAAAACUCUUUGCCACUUCUAUCUGUUAAAUCUGAAAAGCGUGGCGUCAAUUCGUAUUCAGUUUUCUGAGUCAUUGCACGUACGUCGUGCUGUUGUGACCGUUGCAAGCAUUUGGGGGGGAGGGGGGAGGGGUGUGUCUCUGCCAGCUCUGGACAUCUAGACUCUGAUAACGUUGCUCCUUCCACUUUGCAGAACAGCUUAAGGUCAGUCCGAUUGGAUGAACGGAUUCUGCGUUAGAGACACAAUCAGUGCAAAUCAGAGGAAGGCCAGAGGUUCCCCACUGUGCAAACAACAAAACCAGGACUUUGACGCAAACAAUCAUCUGGUUCUGAUCUGCGGAUUUUCUCUGGAACCUUUGGAGAUUAUUCUGCAAAGCAGGAAAAACAUCGCAGAGAAGACAAGAGAGUCUUCAGUCAGAGGAGUGUUCAUCACCGCUGUAACACUGACUGCUACAGGAGAACGUUAGAUAAUAUAAAUUGCAAUGUAAUUUAACAUUUCUCUGGGAUCUAUAAAGUAUUUUUGACCUCCAAGAACGAGCCUGGAUGAACGGACAUCGACAACAACUGGAUGUUCAAACAUUCCAACUCAUUAUUUUACUUUCGUUUCACACUUUAAAUGAUCUUGAAUUCAUACUGUCCUAAAUAAAAACAACAAUACGCAGUUUAACGUAUUUUACAUACAAAGACAGACACUAAAAAAUGCCCGUUUUCCAGCGUGAUUCACACUGCGACUCUCUUCUGCAGGGCACAUGGCAGCAGUAGGUGGACGUCAGCCUGAGCCGUGUCAUUUAGAGAGACGGACUUGCAGACGAGCUAAAAGUCACCAGAGCCAGAAUGGGGAAGCAUCAAAUGGUCCAGGCGCAGAUCUGGAUGGAGACGAAGGAGGGGCGGCUCAGCGGGGCUAUGACCAGGCGUUAGCAAGCCGGCUGGAUUAACUGGAAUGCAACCAUUCGGAGGAUAACUUGGGCACAGGGCGGAACUUUGAAAGUCAGAGCCAGCAAGACUCAAGUUUCUGAUCAAGUCGGUGUGCAUGAUGCAGAAUCACCAGCGUCUCCACUGGGCCCAGGCUGAGACUCACUAGCGCACAAGCUGCUGCCUUAAAGCCUGGGGAAGUGACGCAGAAGGCAGCAGCUGAUGCCAUUUUACCGGAAUCCAGCAGAGGAAACACAAGUUCCCAGUAAGACAGAGUAUCAUCAGAGCAGGGGAAGUUCAAACCUCGACCUUUCAGCUGCUAACCACAGCCCAUGGCUGAGAGUUAAGAGAAGAUCUUGGAAGACAGAUAAAGUUUCCAGAGCGCACAGCAAAGACGUCAAUCAGGCCAGAUUCGGCCUUCACAUCAGAGCCCGCGAAGCAAGCAUGCUGCUGGAGCUUCCAGUCCCCCCGGGAAGAUCGGAUGUGGGAGGCCCACGAACGUAAGAAGGACAAAUAUCUGAAGUUGAGAUGUAGAGGAAGAGCGGCUGGCAGGCCCGCUAUGAGCAAACUGAGGAGGCCUGCAGGGGUUAUUUCAGGGCAAUCUGCGCACCGUCCGUUUAGGGUUGGUAGAAAUUAGAGCCACCAGAAACAUCAGUGAAGCUGCUAUAAAAGCCCCAAGACAGCUGUGGAUCAAGAAGGGAAGAUGGUAACCUGGGACUGAUAACCGGUCGAUUUAAGAUUGAUUGAUUUAAGACCCGGGUUCAUCACUGACGAUGAACCAUCAAGGUGUCUCAUAGAUCGAAGGUAAAUGUGCGUUUAUUCUCACAAGGCAGUAAGAAAUAACAGGAAAAUAGCUACUUGGAUACAGUAGUAAAUAUUUAAAGUUAAAUAACACUUACAAGGUGAAAAGCAACUAAUCAGAGUCAAGUAAGGCUGGUGAGGACAAUGUCCACCUGCCACUAAACAUUGAGGUGGAAGGGGAAAAGAUUAAGCUAACUGUAAAAGAAAGUAAACUUUUAGAAAUGUUAUAAGCAGCUAAAAUGUUCUGUGAAGGUAUAAUUUGCCACUGCCUUGUAUUUAUGUCAACUGUUUGAUGGAUAAAAUUGCUAAAAUAUUUUUUAUCAUUAAAAAAUUGAGGUAGGAGGGGGGGGGGAAUUAACUUGCUACAGAAUAAAAUUAGUGGUUAAAAGUGCUAAAAGAGAACAUUUC